rnacentral:rRNA from 1 species
UACGAAGGGGGCUAGCGUUGCUCGGAAUCACUGGGCGUAAAGCGCACGUAGGCGGCUUUUUUAAGUCAGAGGUGAAAUCCUGGAGCUCAACUCCAGAACUGCCUUUUGAUACUGGAGAGCUUGAGUCCGGGAGAGGUGAGUGGAACUGCGAGUGUAGAGGUGAAAUUCGUAGAUAUUCGCAAGAACACCAGUGGCGAAGGCGGCUCACUGGCCCGGUACUGACGCUGAGGUGCGAAAGCGUGGGGAGCAAACA